GUGGGGAAUCUUAGACAAUGGGGGAAACCCUGAUCUAGCCAUGCCGCGUGAUCGAUGAAGGCCCUAGGGUUGUAAAGCUCUUUCAGCUGGGAAGAUAAUGACGGUACCAGCAGAAGAAGCCCCGGCUAACUCCGUGCCAGCAGCCGCGGUAAUACGGAGGGGGCUAGCGUUGUUCGGAAUUACUGGGCGUAAAGCGCGCGUAGGCGGACUGAAAAGUUGGGGGUGAAAUCCCGGGGCUCAACCCCGGAAUUGCCUUCAAAACUCCCGGUCUUGAGGUCGAGAGAGGUGAGUGGAAUUCCGAGUGUAGAGGUGAAAUUCGUAGAUAUUCGGAGGAACACCAGUGGCGAAGGCGGCUCACUGGCUCGAUACUGACGCUGAGGUGCGAAAGCGUGGGGAGCAAACAGGAUUAGAUACCCUUGUAGUCC
rnacentral:rRNA from 1 species